AUGGUCCGCACGAUGACCGAAGGCAUCGUGAAUAGGUUUUUGAGCUCCACGAAGGCCGAGAUGCUUCAAAAGAAUGAGACGGAGAUAAGAUGUCCGUGUCGAAGAAGCAAGUUGAAGAUACUUAUUGCAGACCCGGAUUCCGGGCAGGUGCGGGACCACCUGCUCUUGCGUGGUUUCAUGGAUGGCUAUCGGUGGCAAGGUGAUGAAGAUGACUAUGAAGUCGUCCAUGGGGGCCGGGCAAGAAAUGAGGAAGGGCAGCAAGACAACCACCGCGGCGAGGGCGGGCGAGAAGACGAAGAAUCUCCAGGACAUGAUCACGACAGUGAUGCAGUAUACAGUCAUCAUGUAGAAGAUGCCGGACAUGAUGAUGAGGAAGAUCAAGACGAAGGGCAUGAUCAUGAAGAUGAAGAUGCUGGAGCAGACGACGAUGGACCAUCGAUGGGCUGGGUGCAGGACCCUCAUAUUCAAGAGCUGCUUCUCAAGCAGACGGAUAACGCAAGAGUUGCCGCCUGA
rnacentral:rRNA from 1 species